rnacentral:rRNA from 1 species
CCUACGGGAGGCAGCAGUGAGGAAUAUUGGUCAAUGGACGAGAGUCUGAACCAGCCAAGUAGCGUGAAGGAUGACUGCCCUAUGGGUUGUAAACUUCUUUUAUAUGGGAAUAAAACGUUCCACGUGUGGGAUUUUGUAUGUACCAUAUGAAUAAGGAUCGGCUAACUCCGUGCCAGCAGCCGCGGUAAUAAGGAGGAUCCGAGCGUUAUCCGGAUUUAUUGGGUUUAAAGGGAGCGUAGGUGGAUUGUUAAGUCAGUUGUGAAAGUUUGCGGCUUAACCGUAAAAUUGCAGUUACGACUGGCAGUCUUGAGUACAGUUGAGGUGGGCGGAAUUCGUGGUGUAGCGGUGAAAUGCUUAGAUAUCACGAAGAACUCCGAUUGCGAAGGCAGUUCACUGGACUGCAACUGACACUGAGGCUCGAAAGUGUGGGUAUCAAACAGGAUUAGAUACCCGGGUAGUC